GGAACGGGAACAUAAGGCUGCAGGCAAAGGACUUGCAGAAUGAAAACAUACAAAUUAGAAGAGAGUGCAUCCUCAAGGCAUUGUGUGCACAUCUGAAAGAAAACAGCAGAGAACUUGUGAAAAUGUUCUGUAUAUGGGCAUUGAUGUGAAUGGAAUGCAAAAGGAUUUGGAGCAAACAGUCAUGGCAGUGUCUGUAAUCAGGGAGGAAGGAGCUGAGGCCACUGAUGAACCCAAAGAUUCUGAGAAUAACAAUUAACGGUGUGGAUGACACUCAAACUUUGAGAAAUGUGACACUAGGUUCUGCCAUGUUGGUUGACCUUAUACAUAUAUACCCUAAACCUUUUCUAUCCAGACAAGCUAAUUUUUUUUUUGUUCUUCAUUUCACCUUACACAAUUUCUUGUAUUAGGAAUGUGUUGGUUUUUGCAUACCCCUGACUGACUGGGAUGACAGCGCAGGGUCAGCUGUUAUACAGCACCCCUGGAGCAAUUGCAGGACCCCUGGAGCAAUUGCAGGUUAAGGGCCUUGCUCAAGGGCCCAGCAGUGUUGGAUCUCUUUUGGCAGUAACAGGGAUUUGAACUGGCAACCUUCUGGAUACCAGCACAGAUCCUUACCCUCAGAGCCACCACCCCUCCCUCUAGUCCUACAGAAAAUUGUUAUGAAUCUGGAAUGCCAAAGACUUUAACCAAAAGUGCAAUCCCAUUAAAACCAAGCUGCUUGGAAAGUAGCCACUUGCUGAUACACUUCCAGGAAGACUGGUUCAACUCUAAUCAUUCUGUAUUAUUUUUAAACUUUGAAUAAGUUGCUUGAUGUCACAGGCGUCUUCUCUGAUUUAUACACUAAAGACUUGUGAAGAAUCAAUUCCCCCUCACAGUCCUGUAAAGAAUGUACAAGCUGCAGUUAUUGUUAAACACUUUUGUAUUGUUUUAGCACUUAUAAAACUGUGCUUACUGAAAAUGUAGUUCUAGUGUCAAGUUAAACAUUUUUUAAAAAAAAUGGUUUAUUAC